rnacentral:rRNA from 1 species
ACGGAGGGUGCAAGCGUUGUUCGGAAUUAUUGGGCGUAAAGCGCGCGCAGGCGGCCUGGAAAGUCUAUGGGUGAAAUGCCGGGGCUCAACCCCGUGCAUGCCCAGGAUACUGCCAGGCUGGAGACACGUAGAGGCAGGCGGAAUUUCGGGUGUAGCGGUGGAAUGCGUAGAGAUGUGGAGGAACACCAGUGGCGAAGGCGACUUUCUGGUCUGUAACUGACGCUGAGGCGCGAAAGCGUGGGGAGCAAACAGGA